rnacentral:rRNA from 1 species
AACAUAGGUCCCGAGCGUUAUCCGGAUUUACUGGGCGUAAAGCGUGUUCAGGCGGUCUAGCAAGCCGGGCAUGAAAUCUCUCGGCUCAACCGGGAGGGGUUGUCCGAUACUGCUGGGCUUGAGGGCAGCAGAGGGUGGUGGAAUUCCGGGUGUAGUGGUGAAAUGCGUAGAUAUCCGGAGGAACACUAGUGGCGAAGGCGGCCACCUGGGCUGUACCUGACGCUCAAACACGAAAGCUAGGGGAGCGAACGGG